UACAGAGGGUGCAAGCGUUGUUCGGAAUUAUUGGGCGUAAAGCGCGUGUAGGCGGCUUUGCAAGUCGGGUGUGAAAGCCCUCAGCUCAACUGAGGAAGUGCGCCCGAAACUGCAGAGCUUGAGUGCCGGAGAGGGUGGCGGAAUUCCCCAAGUAGAGGUGAAAUUCGUAGAUAUGGGGAGGAACACCGGUGGCGAAGGCGGCCACCUGGACGGUAACUGACACUGAGACGCGAAAGCGUGGGUAGCAAACAGG
rnacentral:rRNA from 1 species